GAACAAAUCACUUCUACUACAUUUGAUAGAUCAUGAUGCAAUAUAAUGUAAUUAAAUUUUCUAUUAAAUCUUAACAGAAAAUUUAAUAAUUUAAUUACAUUACAUACCUUAAACUAGAUACCAAAUUUGAAUAUUUUCUUUUCCCCCUUUGUAAAUCAAAUAAAAUAAACUAAUAAAUAAUAUCAUCAAACAGAACUCCAGACACCAACAUUAUUUCUACUUUUCUAGCCUUCACAAAUCUCACAAAAUACUAUAGUCUAUUAAGAGUAGUGUAAAGAGACACACAUUGUGCUCGUUUACUAUUCAACUCCUUCUGUCCUAUUCCUUUAUAAAUAUUAUUAACCAAAAAUAAAAAGUAAAAAUUAUACAACA
rnacentral:misc_RNA from 1 species